GGUCGCUUAGCUCAGUUGGUUAGAGCGUGUAAGUUGCCAACAUCGAAACAUCACUACAACAAUUGCUUACGAUUGUCCUUAGGGUGCUAAUACCAUCAAUGGUAACGCCAAGGUCGCGAGUUCGACCCUCGUAGUGAUCA
rnacentral:tRNA from 1 species